rnacentral:rRNA from 1 species
GGGUUGUGAGGUUAAGCGACUAAGCGUACACGGUGGAUGCCCUGGCAGUCAGAGGCGAUGAAGGGCGUGCUAAUCUGCGAUAAGCGCCGGUAAGGUGAUAUGAACCGUUAUAACCGGCGAUACCCGAAUGGGGAAACCCAGUGUGACUCGUCACACUAUCAUUAACUGAAUCCAUAGGUUAAUGAGGCGAACCGGGGGAACUGAAACAUCUAAGUACCCCGAGGAAAAGAAAUCAACCGAGAUUCCCCCAGUAGCGGCGAGCGAACGGGGAGGAGCCCAGAGCCUGAAUCAGCAUGUGUGUUAGUGGAAGCGUCUGGAAAGGCGCGCGAUACAGGGUGACAGCCCCGUACACAAAAGCGCAUGUGCUGUGAGCUCGAUGAGUAGGGCGGGACACGUGGUAUCCUGUCUGAAUAUGGGGGGACCAUCCUCCAAGGCUAAAUACUCCUGACUGACCGAUAGUGAACCAGUACCGUGAGGGAAAGGCGAAAAGAACCCCGGCGAGGGGAGUGAAAAAGAACCUGAAACCGUGUACGUACAAGCAGUGGGAGCACCCUUUGGGGUGUGACUGCGUACCUUUUGUAUAAUGGGUCAGCGACUUAUAUUCUGUAGCAAGGUUAACCGUAUAGGGGAGCCGGAGGGAAACCGAGUCUUAAUUGGGCGUUAAGUUGCAGGGUAUAGACCCGAAACCCGGUGAUCUAGCCAUGGGCAGGUUGAAGGUUGGGUAACACUAACUGGAGGACCGAACCGACUAAUGUUGAAAAAUUAGCGGAUGACCUGUGGCUGGGGGUGAAAGGCCAAUCAAACCGGGAGAUAGCUGGUUCUCCCCGAAAGCUAUUUAGGUAGCGCCUCGUGAAUUCAUCUCCGGGGGUAGAGCACUGUUUCGGCUAGGGGGCCAUCCCGGCUUACCAACCCGAUGCAAACUGCGAAUACCGGAGAAUGUUAUCACGGGAGACACACGGCGGGUGCUAACGUCCGUCGUGAAGAGGGAAACAACCCAGACCGCCAGCUAAGGUCCCAAAGUCAUGGUUAAGUGGGAAACGAUGUGGGAAGGCCCAGACAGCCAGGAUGUUGGCUUAGAAGCAGCCAUCAUUUAAAGAAAGCGUAAUAGCUCACUGGUCGAGUCGGCCUGCGCGGAAGAUGUAACGGGGCUAAACCAUGCACCGAAGCUGCGGCAGCGAGUAUCAGAAGUGCGAAUGCUGACAUAAGUAACGAUAAAGCGGGUGAAAAGCCCGCUCGCCGGAAGACCAAGGGUUCCUGUCCAACGUUAAUCGGGGCAGGGUGAGUCGACCCCUAAGGCGAGGCCGAAAGGCGUAGUCGAUGGGAAACAGGUUAAUAUUCCCGUACUUGGUGUUACUGCGAAGGGGGGACGGAGAAGGCUAUGUUGGCCGGGCGACGGUUGUCCCGGUUUAAGCGUGUAGGUGUGUGUUCCAGGUAAAUCCGGUUCACUUUAACACUGAGGCGUGAUGACGAGGCACUACGGUGCUGAAGCAACAAAUGCCCUGCUUCCAGGAAAAGCCUCUAAGCAUCAGGUAACAUCAAAUCGUACCCCAAACCGACACAGGUGGUCAGGUAGAGAAUACCAAGGCGCUUGAGAGAACUCGGGUGAAGGAACUAGGCAAAAUGGUGCCGUAACUUCGGGAGAAGGCACGCUGACACGUAGGUGAAGUGAUUUACUCAUGGAGCUGAAGUCAGUCGAAGAUACCAGCUGGCUGCAACUGUUUAUUAAAAACACAGCACUGUGCAAACACGAAAGUGGACGUAUACGGUGUGACGCCUGCCCGGUGCCGGAAGGUUAAUUGAUGGGGUCAGCGCAAGCGAAGCUCCUGAUCGAAGCCCCGGUAAACGGCGGCCGUAACUAUAACGGUCCUAAGGUAGCGAAAUUCCUUGUCGGGUAAGUUCCGACCUGCACGAAUGGCGUAAUGAUGGCCAGGCUGUCUCCACCCGAGACUCAGUGAAAUUGAACUCGCUGUGAAGAUGCAGUGUACCCGCGGCAAGACGGAAAGACCCCGUGAACCUUUACUAUAGCUUGACACUGAACAUUGAGCCUUGAUGUGUAGGAUAGGUGGGAGGCUUUGAAGCGUGGACGCCAGUCUGCGUGGAGCCGACCUUGAAAUACCACCCUUUAAUGUUUGAUGUUCUAACGUGGACCCGUAAUCCGGGUUGCGGACAGUGUCUGGUGGGUAGUUUGACUGGGGCGGUCUCCUCCUAAAGAGUAACGGAGGAGCACGAAGGUUGGCUAAUCCUGGUCGGACAUCAGGAGGUUAGUGCAAUGGCAUAAGCCAGCUUGACUGCGAGCGUGACGGCGCGAGCAGGUGCGAAAGCAGGUCAUAGUGAUCCGGUGGUUCUGAAUGGAAGGGCCAUCGCUCAACGGAUAAAAGGUACUCCGGGGAUAACAGGCUGAUACCGCCCAAGAGUUCAUAUCGACGGCGGUGUUUGGCACCUCGAUGUCGGCUCAUCACAUCCUGGGGCUGAAGUAGGUCCCAAGGGUAUGGCUGUUCGCCAUUUAAAGUGGUACGCGAGCUGGGUUUAGAACGUCGUGAGACAGUUCGGUCCCUAUCUGCCGUGGGCGCUGGAGAACUGAGGGGGGCUGCUCCUAGUACGAGAGGACCGGAGUGGACGCAUCACUGGUGUUCGGGUUGUCAUGCCAAUGGCACUGCCCGGUAGCUAAAUGCGGAAGAGAUAAGUGCUGAAAGCAUCUAAGCACGAAACUUGCCCCGAGAUGAGUUCUCCCUGAGACUUAGAGUCUCCUGAAGGAACGUUGAAGACGACGACGUUGAUAGGCCGGGUGUGUAAGCGCAGCGAUGCGUUGAGCUAACCGGUACUAAUGAACCGUGAGGCUUAACCUUACAACGCCGAAG